rnacentral:rRNA from 1 species
AACGUAGGAGACAAACGUUAUCCGGAGUUACUGGGCGUAAAGGGCGUGUAGGUGGUUUUGUAAGUCUGGCGUGAAAUUUUUCGGCUUAACCGGGAAAGGUCGUCGGAUACUGCAGGACUAGAGGACGGUAGAGGCGUGUGGAAUUCCGGGUGUAGUGGUGAAAUGCGUAGAGAUCCGGAGGAACACCAGUGGCGAAGGCGACACGCUGGGCCGUACCUGACACUGAUGCGCGACAGCAUGGGGAGCAAACAGG